rnacentral:rRNA from 1 species
GGUGGGAUGACGUCAAGUCCUCAUGGCCCUUAUGGGUAGGGCCUCACACGUCAUACAAUGGUCGGUACAGAGGGUUGCCAAGCCGCGAGGCGGAGCCAAUCCCACAAAGCCGAUCGUAGUCCGGAUUGUUCUCUGCAACUCGAGAGCAUGAAGUCGGAAUCGCUAGUAAUCGCAGGUCAGCAUACUGCGGUGAAUACGUUCCCGGGUCUU